rnacentral:SRP_RNA from 2 species
GCCGGGCGUGGUGGCGCAUGCCUGUAAUCCCAGCUACUCAGGAGGCUGAGGCAGGAGAAUUACUUGAGCCUGGGAGGCAGAGGUUGCAGUGAGCGCAGAUCGCGCCACUGCACUCCAGCCUGGCAACAGAGCGAGACUCUGUCUCAA